CACGCUGUAAACGAUGAAAACUAAGUAUUGCCGCGAGGCAGUGCUGUAGCUAACGCAUUAAGUUUUCCGCCUGGGGAGUACGCUCGCAAGAGUGAAACUUAAAGGAAUUGACGGGGGCCCGCACAAGCAGUGGAGCAUGUGGUUUAAUUCGACGCUACGCGAAGAACCUUACCAGGACUUGACAUCCUACUAACGAGGUAGAGAUACGUCAGGUGCCCUUCGGGGAAAGUAGAGACAGGUGG
rnacentral:rRNA from 1 species